CGGACGGGUGAGUAACGCGUAAAGAACUUGCCUCUUAGUCUGGGAUAACAGAUGGAAACGACUGAUAAGACUAGAUACUAUUAAAGCUUCGCAUGAAGCUUUAAUGAAAAGAGAUGCUAAGAGAGAGCUUUGCGUCCUAUUAGUUAGUUGGUGAGGUAACGGCUCACCAAGACGAAGAUAGGUAGCCGGUCUGAGAGGAUGAACGGCCACAAGGGGACUGAGAUACGGCCCUU
rnacentral:rRNA from 1 species